rnacentral:rRNA from 1 species
CUACGGGGGGCAGCAGGUAGGGAUAAUCUACAAUGCACGCAAGUGUGAUAGUUUGAGCCAGAGUGCAUUUCAAUGAAAUGCUUUUGCCAAGUCUAAAAAUCUUGGCGAAUAAGGACUGGGUAAGACAGGUGCCAGCCGCCGCGGUAAUACCUGCGGUCCAAGUCGCAAUCAUUUUUAUUGGGUCUAAAACAUCCGUAGCUUGCUUAAUAAGUCCUUUGUGAAAUCUUAUGUCUCAAGCAUAAGAAUUGCAAGGGGUACUGUUUUGCUAGAGACUAGGAGACGUAAUGAGUAUGUUCAAAGUAGCGGUAAAAUGUGUUAAUCUUGAGCAGACUAACAAGAGCGAAGGCACAUUACGAGAAUAGUUCUGACAGUGAGGGAUGAAGGCUAGGGGCGCAAAACGGAUUAGAUACCCUGGUAGUC